rfam:Ovis aries breed Texel chromosome 1, whole genome shotgun sequence.
UUCCUAGUAGCCUAGAUGGUAAAGAAUCUGCCUGCAAUGCAGGAGACCUGGGUUCAAUCCCUGGGUCGGAAA